AUGCCCAAAAGCCUCUGGGGGGGCGCCAGUCCUUCUAGGGUUAGAAUGAACCUGUUGCACUGUCCAAAGACCAGUAGAGCCACCACCACAAGUGGCUGGCGUGGCAAAUGCCUCGGGGCUUCUGGGCAUCAACUUUGGCAGGAGGCCAAGCCUGGGCGCAGCACUCCGGGCCUUCUUCGCACCUUUGGGCCCUUUCUUAUCACAUCCUCGGCCUCCCCUGCCCAGGGUGGGCCUCCUGCCCCCAGCAUCCAAAGAGCAUCCCCAGCCAAGGCAGUGAGUGGGAGAGAUGACAGGGCCACAGCGGGAGCCCCCAGGAGCUCUCAGGCUCAUGGGGGAGAUGGCAGGGCCACAGAGGGGGUCUCAAGCUCAUGGGGGAGAUGGCAGGGCUACAGAGGGAGCCUCUGGGCUAACAGGAGUCAAGCAAGACCCAAGGAGGUAGCAAAGGGCGGUAAAGAACUGCAGUCUCACAGGAGGAGGGGGAGCAUCUCACUACAAACUCUGCUGUGAGGCAGGGGGAUCUGUGCAGACAGAGGCCCGAAGGCUCUGCCAGGGCUGAGCCUUCUCCCUAACAGGGGUGUCAGGGUGCCCAGGGUCAGCCCAGGAGGUCCCGGGGUCAAAUACAACCUCAGAUACUGGUUGUGUGACCCUGGCCGAGGUCUGCCUCAGUUUCCUCAUCUGUUGAAGGGGGGAGAUAAGGAAGUGGCAGGCCAGAGUCAGUGCCCAGAAGAGCCCAGCGGGAGCACCAGGAAGUAUUGGUUCCGCUUUUUGGCAGCCACUUGCAGGAGCCCCCGAGAGAAGUGGCAGCGGGAAGGAGGCGCCUGCCCCCCCCCCAGUGCCCCCAGGGCCACACCCGGCUCCCGCUGCCCCCAGUGCUAGUCAGCCCCUGCGCUCUGCCAUUCUCCACUCCAGUGCCGACGGGCCCGGGGCCAUCCCCUCAACCCUGGUCCACUCGGGCGGCAGCACCGGGCCUGGCGGAGCCCAAACACGGGUCGUCCUGCGCCCCCUCAUUUCCGGGCCCCAGGAGGCCCGGAAGGGGUGGGGCAGAGCAAGCUGCCCAGAGUGAUGUCAGUGUCUGCGCCGGGAUGAGAACCCGCCACUGCCAGAGAGCGGGCUAGCGAGCCAGGCCGGGGUGGGGGUGGGGGUGGGGGUACCGUCCUCCU
rnacentral:lncRNA from 1 species